rnacentral:rRNA from 1 species
UACAGAGGGGGGCAAGCGUUGUUCGGAAUUACUGGGCGUAAAGGGCGCGUAGGCGGCCUGCUAAGUCGAACGUGAAAUCCCUGGGCUCAACCCCAGGAACUGCGUCCGAUACUGGUUGGCUUGAAUCCGGGAGAGGGAUGUGGAAUUCCAGGUGUAGCGGUGAAAUGCGUAGAUAUCUGGAGGAACACCGGUGGCGAAGGCGACAUCCUGGACCGGUAUUGACGCUGAGGCGCGAAAAGCCAGGGGGAGCAAACGGGG